GCCACAUGCAGUGAAGAACAAGCCAGCAAUUUGCGGCUGAAGGUGAUACCUUUCAGUUUUAUUCUGGCAAAUCGUCCAUGUCUGCACUCCAACGUUUGCCUUUGCAUGCCAGGACCUGCAAUGAACAUAAUUAGGGCUUCAAAGAAAAGAGCCAGAUAUACUCAAGCACAUUUUUGCUGCCAAUUUGUAACCAAGGAUCUCUCUGUUGUGUUAAUGCUGGUUAAUUCAUCUCUGCUUGUUGGUUGGCUUCAACAAAUGCUAUCAAGUUUUCCAGGAUUUUGACAUGGCCAUUGAAAUCUUUUAAGUGCCCCUGAAUUCGAAGCAAAAGCAAAUGAAUUGUCUCAGUGGUCAAGGGAUCUGUCUAUAAUAUUGUUAAAGAAUUUCUGUUAUCUUUGAUUGAUCAUCAAUUAAUAUUAUUAUCAACUUAAAAGAAGGUUGGAAGCUAAUAAAUGGUUGAUAGUCA